rnacentral:rRNA from 1 species
GACGUAGGGCGCGAGCGUUGUCCGGAUUUAUUGGGCGUAAAGAGCUCGUAGGCGGCUUGUUGCGUCGUCCGUGAAGACCUGGGGCUCAACUGCAGGCUUGCGGUCGAUACGGGCAGGCUGGAGUUCGGUAGGGGAGACUGGAAUUCCUGGUGUAGCGGUGAAAUGCGCAGAUAUCAGGAGGAACACCGGUGGCGAAGGCGGGUCUCUGGGCCGAUACUGACGCUGAGGAGCGAAAGCGUGGGGAGCGAACAGG